rnacentral:rRNA from 1 species
UACGUAGGGUGCGAGCGUUAAUCGGAAUUACUGGGCGUAAAGCGUGCGCAGGCGGUUCGUUAAGUUCGUUGUGAAAGCCCCGGGCUCAACCUGGGAACUGCAAUGGAAACUGGCGGGCUUGAGUGCGGCAGAGGGGGGUGGAAUUCCGCGUGUAGCAGUGAAAUGCGUAGAGAUGCGGAGGAACACCGAUGGCGAAGGCAGCCCCCUGGGCCAACACUGACGCUCAGGCACGAAAGCGUGGGGAGCAAACAGG